rnacentral:misc_RNA from 1 species
GUGAAACCCUAGAUCGCCGCCGACGUUCGAACUCGUCGGCCGAUCCUCUCAUCCGCAAUCAUGGCGCGCGAGCUAUCUCAGAAGGAGAAGGACAUCCAGAUGAUGCUCGCUGCCGACGUUCACCUUGGCACGAAGAACUGCAACUUCCAGAUGGAGCGCUACGUCUACAAGCGUAGGACUGACGGUAUAUACAUCAUCAACCUUGGAAAGACGUGGGAUAAACUUCACAUGGUAGCUAGGGCUGUUGUUUCUGUUGAGAAUCCUCAGGAUAUUAUUGUUCAAUCUGCAAGACCAUAUGGUCAGAGAGCCGUCUUGAAGUUUGCACACUACAUUGGUGCUCAUCCCAUUGCUGGCAGGCACACUCCUGGAACUUUCACGAAUCAACUGCAGACCUCUUUCAGUGAGCCCCGUCUUCUCAUCCUCACUGAUCCCAGAACUGACCACCAGCCAAUCAAGGAGGCUGCACUGGGUAACAUUCCCACCAUUGCCUUCUGUGACACUGAUUCCCCAAUGCGAUAUGUUGAUAUUGGAAUUCCUGCCAACAACAAAGGGAAGCACAGUAUUGGUUGCCUUUUUU